rnacentral:rRNA from 1 species
GACGAACGCUGGCGGCGUGCCUAAUACAUGCGAGUCGAGCGGACGAAUCGAAAGCUUGCUUUUGAUUCGUUAGCGGCGGACGGGUGAGUAACACGUGGGCAACCUGCCCCGUAGACGGGGAUAACACCGAGAAAUCGGUGCUAAUACCGGAUAACACGAAAUGUCGCAUGACGUUUCGUUGAAAGACGGCACAAGCUGUCGCUACAGGAUGGGCCCGCGGCGCAUUAGCUAGUUGGUGAGGUAACGGCUCACCAAGGCGACGAUGCGUAGCCGACCUGAGAGGGUGAUCGGCCACACUGGGACUGAGACACGGCCCAGACUCCUACGGGAGGCAGCAGUAGGGAAUCUUCCGCAAUGGACGAAAGUCUGACGGAGCAACGCCGCGUGAGCGAAGAAGGCCUUCGGGUCGUAAAGCUCUGUUGUUAGGGAAGAACAAGUAACGCAGUAACUGGCGUUACCGUGACGGUACCUAACGAGAAAGCCACGGCUAACUACGUG